GGGGCGGAGUUGGGGAGGGGGUGUAAGCAAAUUUGCCACCCUAGGCCUAGGCCUUGUUGGCCUAGGCGAUAAUACGCUGCUGCCCUCAGGAAGGAAAACUGCUCUGCAAUUUCAAACCAUAUCCAUUCAGGAGGACAGCACUGAUAAUGGACAAACAUUUCUACUGUGGAGACAACCACCAAGUGCAGGGAUUUCAUAUUUGCCUGCAAAUCUGAGCCAGACAGUGACCCAGACAUGUACAGACACACUCACUUAGACAUUUAAAAUGGAAUUCAUGUGUUCACAAAAAGCCAAUCCUGCAACAUGCCAAGAGUCUCCUCUGUGACAAGUUCAGUAAAAACUAAUAGCAUUCUGUAUUCGCAGAGCUGGGUUCAAACAAUUAACUGAACCUUUUUAGCAGGUCUGAUUUUAUUUACAGCCCAGGUGCUAAAACUGUUCAUGCUGCAUUUUUACUGACGUAAUAAAUAUAUGAUGGUACGUGGAAGGGAAAUGGCAACUGGGAUUGGUUGGGGGAGGAUUAGAUCUAGAUUUUUCAUCCUCUUUCCCUUUAAGCAAUUCUAAAUUUCCCUUCAAAAUAUAAAAAUAGGACUUUUUUUAAAUUUUUGUGACGUAAAGUUUCUGAAAUUAAAACUUGACUCAUUCCCUGACUAAAUAGUGGGGUUCCCAUGUACCUCCUACCCCACCCCUCUGAUGCAGUCUCCUGUGUGUAAGUCCUUUCCUGUAGACAAGCAGAGACAACUUGUUCUUCAUCUCAAGAACUAAGAAAAUGAUAGCUGGAGGGAGUCUUCUUCCUGUGUCCUGAAAAAUCACACUGAAUGCUGACACCUGCAGCCAUCCUGGAAAACUGAGAACCAAUUCCAGGAGGGCAUUUGUGGAACAGUUCGGCUUUUUCUGGUCCUCAAAGUCUGAAAUGGUAUCUUGUGGUGAUAGCAUUGAGGGAUAAGAAUAUGGGCCAUAUUCCCCUUUGUCAUCCUACCCUUUCCCCUUAGUGGUGCAGUGAAGAGGAAACACAUUGAUGCAGAAGUGCUGCAAAAAGCUUCAUGCUGACAUACUCUAGUGGAAGAUUCGCUCCUACCUGACUAUGCAUAAACUUCAGGUUAAUUCCUUCCAGCGUGACUUGCAGAAGCCCUCCUUCACCAGUUUUCAUAUCCUGCACUGGGAACUCACCACCCAAUUCAGGUCCUGCAAUAUAACAACAAACAAAGAGAAGAAGGACAGGAAAGAAUCAAAUAGAGUGAGCUGCACAAUACUUUCCAUUUAUUGAGUGAUUAAAGCAAGAACUCCAUGUAAUGUACACUGCAACAUUUUAUUACAUGAACAGUAUUGAGUACUUGAUUAAAGACUAGCAGUGAGUGCUCUAAACACCAUCACGUAUUUAAUUGCUAGUGUCUGUAAAGCUCUGUAAUGUGUGAGGGAAAUUAAAAGACUAGCUCAGAGUCUGUACUUGUCAUGGAUACAGGGUAAGAGGGCUUUUUGUUUAUUUAUUUUUUAAGAAGUUAGCUCUCUUUUCUGUACAAUACAACACAGUGGUUAACA